ACGCCUUCUUGCCGGUGUCUGCGUUGCAACCUCGCCUUUGAGAAGAAUGACAUCUUGCUUUUUAAGUACAGGUCUAAUGUUUGCUUAAGGUAAGCCACCGUAAGCUUAAGGUAAGCCAUGCAUAUGUGAUGCAUCGUAUGACGCCUGCGUCUUACUCGUAUUUAACAAUCGAAGUACAUUCUGUUGCAGACGGUGGAAGCAUUGCAAAUGGCGGCAGGAGAGGAUCGGCUGCAUCGGUGAAGCGAUGAUGUACAUUACAAGCGAGGUUAAUUGUAUUCUUCCGUUAUAGGUGACCGUGGGACUGUAUCGAUUGCGAGGAGGUUGUUUCAUGUCUCAACGGUGACACAUACGCGUGCAAGACUGCACAUGGAUUUGGUGUCUGUUGCCACUUGUUGGACAGUUGUUCCUCGGCCAUCUCGUUUGAGGAACCGUCGUGUUCGUCACUAAGGAUCUUCAUUGAGCUUUUAGUGCCAGCUGUUCGAAGUUUCGAGGAUUGUGUGUGUUCGGCGUUUGGAGGACUGCCUGGUGCAUCGGAUCAUCGGAUGGGUUGUGUAUCCGUGCAACGUGUGCUCCAUAUCUGUGUGUUGGGAUUAGUGAACCGUGUAUGUUUUCCAAUCGGCAAACGAUGAUGUACUGAUGCAAUUUAAAGGUAUGUGCAAGCGAAUAAAAUUUGGUGUUUCAUGUUC